UACGUAGGGUGCAAGCGUUGUCCGGAAUUAUUGGGCGUAAAGAGCUCGUAGGCGGUUUGUCGCGUCUGCUGUGAAAACUGGAGGCUCAACCUCCAGCCUGCAGCGGGUACGGGCAGACUAGAGUGCGGUAGGGGAGAUUGGAAUUCCUGGUGUAGCGGUGGAAUGCGCAGAUAUCAGGAGGAACACCGAUGGCGAAGGCAGAUCUCUGGGCCGUAACUGACGCUGAGGAGCGAAAGCGUGGGGAGCGAACAGG
rnacentral:rRNA from 1 species